AAGAUUGAUGGGGUUGGUGAAAAGGAUGAUUUUGAGGGUGAAAAGAAGGAUUUUGAGGGUGAAAAGAGGGAUGAAGGCUUUGAAAAGAAGGAUUUUGAUGGUGAAAAGAGUGAUGAGGGCUUGGUAAAGAAUGAGUUUGAGGGGGAAAAGAGUGAUGAGGGCUUGGAAAAGAACGAGUUUGAGGGUGAAAAGAGUGAUGAGGGCUUGGAAAAGAACGAGUUUGAGGGUGAAAAGAGUGAUGAGGGCUUGGAAAAGAAUGAGUUUGAGGGUGAAAAGAGUGAUGAGGGCUUGGAAAAGAAUGAGUUUGAGGGUGAUGUGAAAGAGGGGGGAGCUGAAGGUGAGGUAGAUGAUACGAAAGGCGAUGCGAAUGGGGAUGAAAGUGAG
rnacentral:lncRNA from 1 species